AUAAAAAAACGAUAAAACCUUAAUAAGUGGCUGUGUGGUUUUCGCAACAGUUAACACGUUAAACAUCCCUUACACAUCCAAGCCUUGUUUCAGACCACAUCUAAUAUGGGCAUAUGGGAAUAUUUUGGCAACAAUUUUUGGUGUUUUUAAAUGCUUGGCACCGAUAUAUAUCAACGUUUUUUAAGGGACUUCAACUUGAAACUCGUUGCCGACAGUGUUUUAAUAUCGUGGACUUCCUUGCUAUUAGCUGACGGUAACAAUUCAACAACUACUAGGUUGGCGAACUUGGUUUUGUGGAAGCGGCUUCUAGGUCUAGGUCUAUUAACAAAUUGCACCGCCAUUCAAGGGAGCAUUGCUGUUGGUAUUAUGGCUGAUAGUUUCUUUCAAACUCUGACAACGAAGAAUUAAGUGCCUGACUAAUUUUCUGUAGUUUUCGUACCUCAGAGGCGCUGAUGUUAAACUCAUCAUCGGAGUCCGAAGGACCAGGCAUAAUACACUGGUCCGAAAAUUAAGAAAACAAAUUUGGCUAACGACGCUCUCACUGACUGUAUCGAGUGCCAUCUCUCUCCUAAGAAUAUAAAGUGAAGUUAAUGUGCCUAAUCAUAGAGAGGAAUUGGCGAUAUUUUAAACAAAUUAAUUGAUUUUAAAUUUCUAGCCGAUUGAUAAGCCGUCGGUCGCUCUCAGACGGCGAGCACAUAUGUAAGGCGCAACGGAACAUGCAAAGCAAAUUAUGUUGGCAAAAAAGAGACGGGGACGAGCAAAAGGCGAGCAAAAUACCAAUAAGAGAACAAUAAGAGUCACGAUCUUUUUCGUGACUUUUAUUGGGUGCCAAUUUCUAAGCAAAUUGUAAUUAUUUUUGAAUUAAAUUCUAUAUGGAUUCAUUUUAUAAGAAACAUUUAUGCUAAAAGAUCAACCCCCCACCAUGUGGAUCAGGAAGUCUUUUUUUAAAUAAAAUUUAUUGGGAAACUAGAAGGUUAGUUUAUAUACAAUUAUACAUUAAGUGUUAUAUUUAUAAAUUUAAUUAAUUUUCUUAAGGUGGAAAAAAUUUACAUUUUUUAAAAGUACAAAGUAACGAAAAUUCUUAUUGCGAACCAAA
rnacentral:sRNA from 1 species